UGCAAGUCAUACAUAUUCAAUACCUGUUCGUUCCUGAUUGCAUUUUGUUACACGAAUACGACGCAGCCCAUUUCUAUUAUCCGCUUGAGAACAGUUGGUCUUUCGUUCUCUGGAGUUUGGAUUAUCCUUUUAAAACAGAUUUAUAAUAAAAUCCUUUAAAAUAGGUUCAUCGUGGUCGCUAAAUCCAAGUCCGGCAGACUUGGAAGCAGAACCGUACAGACAAACGGUGCACAUUUUAACGAUGGGGAAGAAUAAAGUGAAAGUCCACGUUAUUUACUGCGGAGGAUGAGGGUACCGACCCAAGUUCGAGAGCCUGAAAAAGGAGCUCGAACGAAUCUUCCCUGAGCAGUUGAAUAUUACUGGUGAACCGACGCCAAAUACAUCGGGGUACUUCGAAGUCCAGAUCGUAGGAGGACCCCUACUUCAUUCCAAGAAGGAUGGAAUGGGUCACGUCGACAGUUCGGCCAAGCUGCAAAAAAUCGUGGCUGGGGUCCGGAAGGCCUUGGAGGAUGCGGAAGUGGGUUAAGCACUCGGCCUAACUAUGACGGGAUUCGAAGAAAUACCCGAAAAUAAUUUUACAAACUUUCCCCUUAAUAAUUAUCUCACAUUUUACAACUUUCGCUUAUGACGCGAUCUGCUUAAACCGUUAAAUGGGGGGCACUUUGCUGAUUUGUAUUUUACUUGCGAAAAGUUGUGAGAUUAGGAAUGAUUAUUAAUGUAAAAGUUUCUUCUAUCCAUCUAAUCUUCAACAUUUUCUUAAUUAGAAUUAUAUUUCUUUUCUGAAAACGACUUUGUGAUCAUACAAAUUUCAUGUUAUUAAAUAUGAUAUUAUUUCCGAAUUGUUAAUUAGAAUUUAUUUCAAAAGACUUUAAUAAAAUUUAAUUCCUACUCAA